AUCAUAGAUAACUGUCUAACUAGCAAGCUAGAUGUAAACCAGCUAAAAUAGCAUACUGUGCUGACAACGAUUUAAAUGUUCGUUUAGUCAAAGACUGUUUUUCUGGGGAUUAUAGAAUGAAUAACUUUGGUUAAGUCGCCUAGGAGCUGUCAUGAACAGAGAGGCGUUUUUCAUUUUUUUAAUCGUUUGUGUCAUUUAUUUUAGCAUGUCAGGGAAGAAACAGAAGAGCCUCCUUUCCUUCUGGGAAGCCAAGGCUCAGAAAACAAAGGCAGGGAGGUCAGUUGAUGUGCCAGAGACUGAGAGGGAGACUGUGACAUCAGGUGAGAUAGUGAAUGUGCAGGAAGUGACAGAAGAGGAGACAGGGGAGGUGGACAAAGAGACAGUGGAAGACGAAGGAAGAAUGGAGGUGAAUGCAGGAGGUGGAGUGCCAGAAGAGGACAGGGUGAUGGAAGAAGGCAGGGUGACCGAGGAAGUCAGUGCAGAGGUCAGGGUAGUGGUGAAAAAAAAGGCCUUAACUGAAGCUGCCACCUACCAAUCCACAUUCAAAAGUGAAUGGACUGCAAAAUGGCCAUUUAUAACUGUAGGCACCACCAACUCCUACUACUGGUGCUCAGUAUGUAGGCAGGAAAAUUCCUGUGGCCAUCAAGGUGUUGCAGAUGUGCAGCGACACAUUAAGAGUAAAGCACACCAGUCUAAAGAGCAGGCACUUCAGUCCACAAGUAGGAUUGGACAGUUUUAUCCCCCAGUGACUGUUGGUGGCAUGACUGCACAAGAAUCCAAGGUAUUGUCCUGGUCAAAAGGACUACAUGAAGCUCAGAUUCUUGCAUGAAAUCUUGUUUUUCAUCAUUUCUGAAUAUAAAAAAAAAAAAAAUAUUACCAUAUAUUUUAAAUAAUUAUGAACAAUUACCUGGUAGCUGAUUGAGUUGUGUCUGUGUUUACCAUAAAUUACCUCUACAAAUAAAUUUGUCUUGAAUGUCCUUUCUGCUGAUAACAUGGUUAUCAUUCUUUUCUGUUUAAGACAAGGAGAGCUGAGGUAAAAGUGGCUGUGGCCAUGGUGCAGCACAAUAUGCCAUUUGCCAUGGCAGAACAUUUUAGUCCUUUGUUAAGGAAUUGCUUUAGCGACUCCCCCACAGCACAGCAAUAUAAGUGUGCCAGCACAAAAACAACUUGCAUAAUAAAUGAAGCUGUGGCACUGCAUUUCAGAGAGGAGCUGGUCACCAAAAUGAAGACCAGUCCCUUCACUCUCAUAACAGACGGCUCAGAUGAUACAGGACUUGAGAAAAUGAACCCCCUCACUGUCAGGGUGUUUGACGGCAAGGUUGUUCACCAAUUUCUGGACAUGUGCACAACAAGCGGGCAAUGCUGUGGCACUGCCGAAGCCAUUUUCCAGAAGAUCAAUGAUGUCCUCGAAAAACACAACAUAACUGUGUUGCUUUGUCUAUUGACAAUGCCCCAGUCAAUACGGGGGCAAGAAACUCGAUUGCCUCUAGGAUACUGGCAGAGAAUCCCAACGUGUACAUCCAUGGAUGCCCAUGCCAUAUUCUGCAUAACACAGCAAAACAUGCUGGGCAGGGUUUUUUGGAAGUGACUGGAUUUGACCCUGAAGAUCUGGCAGUAGAUGUUGGGCACUGGUUCAGAGGCAGUACGAACUGUAAAGGUUACCUAACAGAAUUCUGUGACUUGCAUGAGUUGGAGUAUAUGGAGAUAUUUUCACAUAUCUCCAUCCGUUGGCUGAGCCUGGAAUGCUGCUUGAAUCGGAUUCUGCAGCAAUACAAGCCACUCUCCAGCUAUUUCAAGUCAGCAAAUGAGAAACAACCACGCUUCACACGACUUGCGCAUGCAUUCUCCAACCCAAUAACAGAAGUCUACCUGCUUUUCUAUCAGGCAACGUUGCCAGCUUUCUCCUCCCUUAAUCUCCUCCUUCAGAGAGAGAAAUCAUCUGUCUUCCUUCUCUAUGAAGAGAUGACCAAGUUCAUUCGCAAGUUUUGCGGAAGAUUCCUGCAAGUUCAGGCACUGCAGAGCAGAGCGGUGGAGGACAUCAAUUAAACAGAUCCAUCCAACCAACUGUCUGGCAAUGCUCCCCAAGUUUCUCCCUAUAUGACAAAAGCUGAACGUGGGUUUUACAACCAGGGCAACCCUCAACCGGCCCCUAGAGGCUGGAGAUGUCACUCCACAGCAGGUGGAGAGAUUCCACCAGGCUGUCUUGGCAUUUUUGACAGGGGCAGUUUAAUAUGCCAUGGCAAAACUGUCCCUUAAAGAGAGUCUCCUGAAACAUGCCAGGUUUGUGGAUGUGCAGCAGAGGGCAGACUGUGAAGUCAAUGAUGCUGCAUACUUUGUGGAUCGGUUCACCAAACUGCUUCCAUAUCAUGAACCCCAAGACCAAGACCAACUUGCAGAGGAGUUUCAGGACUACCAGUUAAUGGAGGUCCCAAUGCCCGAACACCAAACGGAAUUUGACGUUGAGGCUUUCUGGGAAGGCAUGAGUUCACUUAAGAAUAGGGUGACUGGAAUGAGCAGAUUUCCCAGGCUGUCUGCAAUUGCCAAAUUAGUUUUAAUUCUCCCCCACUCCAAUGCAGAUGCUGAGAGGGUUUUUUCCAUGGUGGGCUUGAACAAGACCAAAACAAGAAACGCCUUGGCCCUGGACGAAACCCUCUCAGCAAUCAUGACAGUGAAAAUGGCUGGCAUUGAGCCUCAUUGCUUUAAAUGGGAGCCCCCAGUGUCAGUAAUUAAGGCAUCUAAAUCUGCCACAAACACUUACAACACACAGCAUCACUCAUAAACACACACACACACACACACACACACACACACACACACACACACACACACACACACACACACACACACACACAAUAUCCACCAUUGUUCAGUGGGGCCCUUUGGGGCUAUAUUUGUGUUUUUGCCUUUAUUUAAU